GAUCCUGGCUCAGGAUGAACGCUGGCGGCGUGCCUAACACAUGCAAGUCGAACGGAGCUGCUUUGAUGAGAUCUUCGGAUGGAUUUAAAACAGCUUAGUGGCGGACGGGUGAGUAACGCGUGGGUAACCUGCCUCACACUGGGGGAUAACAGUUAGAAAUAACUGCUAAUACCGCAUAAGCGCACGGUUCCGCAUGGAACAGUGUGAAAAACUCCGGUGGUGUGAGAUGGACCCGCGU
rnacentral:rRNA from 1 species